CCGCGGUUACAGACGGCAGUUGGAUUUAUGGCUGUCAGACCGCCGAGUCCUCUCAGCCAGCCGUUGUAAAGACACAGCAGUAAAACACAGAGGAAGGAGAGGAGGAAGCAUUUCUUCAUCUUCAGUGGUAUCACCUCCCUGUCACAAAAGGGAAUCAAGAGAAAGUUUGUUAUCGGUCGCGUGUGUAUCGGCGGAAGUUUGCUACUUCCACUCCAUCCCCCCCGGCUUCACUUCUGAACAUUGGGAGGAAGUAGAGACAUGUUCCUGACUUCCAGUAUGAAGAGGCGUCACCACCACCUACUCGUAUCAGAGGUAAUGACAUUUGUCCGCUCCAACACACCUGCUGUGUGAGCUCAUUUCUUCCUGUAUGAAAAUAGAGAGUAUUUAGAGAAACAAUGCUCUAAAGGGCCACAUAUCAACAUGCAUUUAUAUCCAUCCUUCAAAUAAAAACAUUUCCAGAUCAGUGAGGAAACAAUUCAUCUUCUCUUUAAAUCAGAUUGUAGCACAAAGACAUUUCAACUUAUUUGCUGGGUAACUUGGGAAAAAAAAGUAAUUUGUGGUUAGGGUUAGGGUUAGGUCUCCUUUUUCUAAAUGUGACAAAAGCUGUGUCUGUUUUUCUCUUGGGAAAGUAUACGGGACAUCAAAAGAUGAACAGAAAACGAUGGUUAAACACACACAUGAAUCUGAUACAAAUAAGCAACCAACAGAGACUAAUUCUGUAACUAGACUGUUCCUAAUUGUGGAAAGCUCUGACCAUACAGAGCCACCUGCUUACGUAAGAACGUUCGUUACCUGUCGUCGUAUUUAAUCAUCCUUAGUCCUCAUUAGUGUUCGAGAGAAAUAAAACUGUACGGGACAGAAACAUUUAAUCAAACACUCUGUUCUCUGUUUUUAGAAAAAUCAAUUAAAGAGGAAGCAAUGUUAAAAUCCAAGUUAAAGGAAGAGGAGUAUAGUGGAGAGGGUCCAGUCCGUCCUGUGUCAUAUUUAAAUGUUUGUUUUUUUUACUUAUUAAGGGCAAGAGCCAUAGGGCAAAAGUAUUUUAUUGACCUUGGUGUUUAUGCAGCAUCUUUGUCCUUUAU